UAAGGAAUAUUGGUCAAUGGACGCAAGUCUGAACCAGCCAUGCCGCGUGGAGGAUGAAGGUCCUCUGGAUUGUAACUUCUUUUAUCUGGGACGAAACACUUCUUUUCUAAGAGGCCUGACGGUACCAGAUGAAUAAGCACCGGCUAACUCCGUGCCAGCAGCCGCGGUAAUACGGAGGGUGCAAGCGUUAUCCGGAUUCACUGGGUUUAAAGGGUGCGUAGGUGGGUAUGUAAGUCAGUGGUGAAAUCCCCGAGCUUAACUUGGGAACUGCCAUUGAUACUAUAUGUCUUGAAUACCGUAGAGGUAAGCGGAAUAUGUCAUGUAGCGGUGAAAUGCUUAGAUAUGACAUGGAACACCAAUUGCGAAGGCAUCUUACUAUGCGGUGAUUGACACUGAGGCACGAAAGCGUGGGUAGCAAACA
rnacentral:rRNA from 1 species